rnacentral:rRNA from 1 species
UAAGGAAUAUUGGUCAAUGGGCGAAAGCCUGAACCAGCCAUCCCGCGUGCAGGAUGAAGGUCCUAUGGAUUGUAAACUGCUUUUAUCAGGGAAGAAACGCCUUCAUUCAUGAGGGUCUGACGGUACCUGAGGAAUAAGCACCGGCUAACUCCGUGCCAGCAGCCGCGGUAAUACGGAGGGUGCGAGCGUUAUCCGGAAUCACUGGGUUUAAAGGGUGCGUAGGCGGGGAAUUAAGUCAGUGGUGAAAGCCUGUCGCUUAACGAUAGAAUUGCCAUUGAUACUGAUUUUCUUGAAUUGGGUUGAGGUUAGCGGAAUGUGACAUGUAGCGGUGAAAUGCAUAGAUAUGUCAUGGAACACCAAUUGCGAAGGCAGCUAGCUGGGCCUUGAUUGACGCUGAGGCACGAAAGCGUGGGUAGCGAACAGG